GAAUUUCGACAAACAAGGCGAAUCCGCGGAUUUGAACACGGGACCUCUCUAUUAUGAGUCGAGAACUCUAGCGCCAAAGCCACGGGUUCAGACAAAAUGAUAUU